rnacentral:misc_RNA from 1 species
GAUGAAGAACGUAGCGAAAUGCGAUAAGUAAUGUGAAUUGCAGAAUUCAGUGAAUCAUCGAAUCUUUGAACGCACAUUGCGCCCCCUGGUAUUCCGGGGGGCAUGCCUGUUCGAGCGUCAUUUCACCACUCAAGCCUCGCUUGGUAUUGGGCAACGCGGUCCGCCGCGUGCCUCAAAUCGACCGGCUGGGUCUUCUGUCCCCUAAGCGUUGUGGAAACUUUCGCUAAAGGGUGUUCGGGAGGCUACGCCGUAAAACAACCCCAUUUCUAAGGUUGACCUCGGAUCAGGUAGGGAUACCCGCUGAACUUAAGCAUAUCAAUAAGCGGAAGA